rnacentral:rRNA from 1 species
GACGAACGCUGGCGGCGUGCUUAACACAUGCAAGUCGAACGAUGAAGCCUAGCUUGCUUGGUGGAUUAGUGGCGAACGGGUGAGUAAUACGUGAGUAACCUACCUUUAACUCUGGGAUAAGCCUGGGAAACUGGGUCUAAUACCGGAUACGACCAAUCUCCGCAUGGGGUGUUGGUGGAAAGCGUUAUGUAGUGGUUAUAGAUGGGCUCACGGCCUAUCAGCUUGUUGGUGAGGUAACGGCUCACCAAGGCGACGACGGGUAGCCGGCCUGAGAGGGUGACCGGCCACACUGGGACUGAGACACGGCCCAGACUCCUACGGGAGGCAGCAGUGGGGAAUAUUGCACAAUGGGCGCAAGCCUGAUGCAGCGACGCCGCGUGAGGGAUGACGGCCUUCGGGUUGUAAACCUCUGUUAGCAGGGAAGAAGAGAAAUUGACGGUACCUGCAGAGAAAGCGCCGGCUAACUACGUG